UCAAAAACUGAAAACACAAAUUAGUGCUCACUGAUGUAAAUUUUUCUUUCCUUAACUAUGGCUACAUGUUGUUAAAGCUGAUGUCAUGUUAAACAUUCAGCGCUGAUGAACCCUAAUUUAUAGAACUAAAACAUCUACAUCAAGGACACAAGCAUUAUUAAUACACCCCUGUCAAGAAUUGGAAACCCAAGAAUUGAGUUUGGCCUUACUUGUUAUCAGUGAAAGCACAGAAACUUCUACCCACUAUUUCUUGUGGGCAAAGAGUUUAGACCCAAAAUUCCUCAGUUCCUGAUAAAUACCUUGCUGACCCUAAAUGAGUGUAAAUUUUUUGUUUCAUAUUGUGUCAUGGACAGCUUCUGGUAUUGUUAAAACACAUACACCAAAAUGAAAAAAACUUUCUAGUGUACUUCUUUCUUUUUUUUUUUUUGCUUUAAAGAGAUUGUUGGUCUUGUUUGUUUAUUUUAUCUUUAAGCCUUGAAGCUUUAAUUUUCUAAUUCAAAACUGCCUUACUAAUUAACCUGCUGUGGCUUUGUGGCGCCAUUGAAGCUCUAUCUCUUGUCCCAUUGGACUCAUUUAAGCAGAGUGCCUUCAGUUCCAUUGGGUUUAAAAAUGUGUAUCAUCCAGCAGCUGAAUUUACAUGUUCUGAAGAAGUAGUAUGUAUUUUUGGGGCUGUAAGGAAAAGGGAUAUCUCAGGGAGUUACUCCUUGUGGCUCUGAGUACCAUGCCAAAUAAGUCAUUAUUGUCUUAUUCUGCAAUGAUAAGAGAGCAAGCAAGCUCUAUCCUUGCAUCUAAACAGCAAGCUAAAUUAGGAUCAUACAUGAUAUCCUCCAGUGGUCUGUUCCUGUCUCCUUCAUUUUUCCUCUUUGAAGCCAUUUCCAGUGUGACUCACAGAUUCAUGCACCAUACAAGGGUGACACAUGAGUACUCUGCUGGCUGAGUUAUCACUAAGCACAUCUGCUAAGUGAUGAGGUACAAAUGCCAGUCUAAAAAUGCCCCUCAUAUGAUUACAUUAAAAGAAACAGUGAAAAUAAGAGCCUGAGGCACUGAAGAGGUGACAUGAGUAAUAGACAGAGAAAUCAACUUUGCACAUUCCUAUUUAACGUAAUUCCUCUGAUUAAAGACCCUGGCUCCAGGACAAACUAUGCAGCAUUAAAGUGAGGAGGAGGGAUCUUCUACUCUCAGCAGUUAACCCAGGAAUCAGAGAACACAUUUUACCUUGCUCCAGUCGGUAUGUGGCAAAGUCAAGUCCAGGCAUUUUUCCAUUUUCUCAUCCAAGCUUUUUACCUCAGAACUUUGGAGAGGACAGAAAGUCUUGUUGGACCAAGUUCAGUCUGUCUACAUGAUACCUGCCAGACACACAGCUCUUCUUGUGGUUAUCUCGUCUGAAGUUCAGCUGACAAGGCAUGGCAUAACUGCAGUGACAUUUAGGUCCACCUUGGCAAAGAUGGUUCUUGUGCAAACAGCACCCAUUCUUAAUAACACAGAAUGAUAGGAUUCUGCCCUGGCUCUCAAAUCUACUUUAGCUCACAAUGACUUAAUCUUCCCCCACCUCAUCACUAGAUUCUAAAUGGCUUUUAAAAAUAAAUUAGAAGAUAUUUGUGCAUUCCAGGUAAAAAACAUCAUGAUUAUUAGUAUAACUUCAGUAAUUAAAAACUCAUAAAAUGCACUGAGAUAUACUUACACAGAAGAGGAUAAACUUUUUUGUGGUCCACCAAAACUUUGGUUUCAUCUAAGAAUAGACUUUCAGUUAUUCUGAAUGACCUUCUGAAAUGAAAGUUGAUUUGUUAAGAGACAUUUUGGCCUUGAUCGCAUGUGUGGAGUUCUUCUCAGUACCUUUACUAUUGUGUCUUAAGUUCCUCUCAGAACUAGGUUAAGGUCUUGCCUCCUAUUAAAAUUUCAGUCCCGUGGUAAAAGUUGAAUGUUGAAGGAUUAUUUCAGCCUGUGGUGGCCUAUUUCCUCUUUCAUUUUUUUAAGGCUACAACUUCUGUUGUGAUUUGCAUGAACCAGGUGACCCAGGCAUUCCUGCUGAAGUCCUGGUGAUUAUGGCUGGUCUUCCAAAAGCAUUUUCACAUUCUUUCCUUGACAACUGGCAUCCUCCAAGUUAUUGCCUAGCAUGAAUCCUAAUUUAAUCUUUUUCAUAAGAUGUAUUUUUCUUAAUAGUGGAUUUAAACCAAAUACCUUACACAUCAAAAGUACUUCUUUUUCAUUUGGAGUGGGCAAGGGAAGAUCACAAGACUUUGCUGUGUCUCCAGCUAGGAUAUUCAGAGGCACAACUGCAGCUGUUUCCUGGUAUCUCAGCACAGGGCUGUCAGCUGAAGAUGCUGGUACCCUUGGCAAGCAAACCACAAUGCAUGUGGGACGUUGCAUGGAGCUCAUCACACAAAUGAACACAUACAGAUAAUCUUACAGAAGGAAAGCCUGCUUAAAAAUAAAGUUCUUCAAUGUACAGUAUGCCUUUUUUAACUAGCUUCCUAAAAUAAGGCCAUGGAUUAUUCUCAUGAGAAUGCACAAACCAAAUCACAGGUACUUCUUGGCAGCAAGGAGAGACAAAACAAGUGCAUCAUCUCUGGUAUAAUCUGUAUUAUGCCAUUUCAACUGUGGUGAAAUUCAGUCUCUUUUUACUGAAUGUUAAUGUUAAUGUGAACUAGCUCUAAGUAUGCUUAAAUCUUUAAAUAAAUGAGCUGCAGAUUUAAAUCCUAUGUGGACAGUUAGUUUUGCUAAAGAUUUAACACUGGGGUAUUUAAUCUUCAUUUAGUAAAGUUCCAAGUUACGUUAAAUGAAAAGGAAAAAAUAUAAAACCUUAUUCAUGCUAGUUUAAAGAAAGCAUAGGCUUUAUAGUUAACAUAAGUUCACAUGGGCAAGGUUUUAUGCAUUCAUGAAAGAGAUUGCAUUUGAUCUGAUUAUAUUGAAUUAAAGAUAAAUUAUAGUUAAACCUCUAGGGAGAAGAAUGAGGAUCAUGGAGAGUUUUUUAAGUAGUUUUAAUUAAUUUUCUAAAUAUGUUUACUUUGCAGUUCAUAGAAAAUUGAUAUUCCUAUACCUUCCCUCAGUGACACAAGCCUUCCUCAAGCUGUGAUAAGUGCUUCUCAACAUUUCAGUCUGUUGGAAAUAUUAUACCUUUAAUGGUAUGAACCAAUUCAUCUUUUUCCUCACGAUGCAGAGCAACCCAGAACUUACCCCUAAGGAGAACACAAAAGGAAAAGGCAUAUCAGAAAUUCUGUCGGCCAAUUUUCGAAUUUAAGUGGAAGAUUACUUCAAUGUCAGCUUUCAUGGAGGAGCCAAACGCCAGCUGGUGCUCCAUCUCCGUUCCCUGGGUACAAUGCUCCGUGCCUGCGGCUCCCUCGUGUGGUGCAUCCCUGUCCAUCUGGGCAUCAGCACAGCACAUCUUUACCCUGCAAUCAGUAGCUGUGAACCUCUCAGUGUGGUUAUCAUUCCCAGUAUUCUUUGCUAUCCCAAAGCAUACUAUCUGCCCAGCAAUAAGGAGCUUUGUGCAGCAGCAACUGUGACAUUCAGAUCUGUCAGCAGGAGAGAUAAACAAUCCUUAGCACCUGAAAGGCUUAAUGCAAAUAUAUGAAAAAGACACAAGCCCCUUGACAUUUAAGAGUGCAGUGACCCAAAAAGGGGCCAGAAUUAUUUCAAAUGCAGUUCCCGAAGAGGUCAAGCACAUGGAAAAGAUCUACAGCAAUGUAAGACAACACUUCAUCUGUUAUUCCAAGACUUCCAUCACCGUAGUCACAUUCGCAAAGAAUGUGUGCUUUCUGUAAUAGAAAGUAGCUGUGGUAAGACCUCUUUUCUUGCAACCAGUACAAAUUCACUCCACAAGAGGGCUUGUGUGUUGUCAAGCCAACGCCUCUGUGACAGCUGGGGUGCAGCAGAUCCUGACAGCAUCCAAAAAGCUGCUGAAGAAGCACCUCCCUCUUUGCCAAGUCUAGUGUCUGAAGUGGAGACUGCAAGAGCACGGCUGAAUUCCUAAGUUAUGGAGGUCCGACCAUCUUGAGAGCUGCCCUGCCAUUCCCUCCAGCCCCCAGACCCUCCUGAGCCAUCCAGAACAGCCACUCCAAGCAGGCAAGAGCAGCAUUGCAGGGGGGCUGAGCUAAAUAAAAGGGAUCACUACCAGGAUGUAGACAAGAGAAGUGUGUUAGCUUAAAAGCAGCACCAGCAGCAAACAUCUACCUGUAUGGAGUCUGGCUCAAACACACAGAAAAAAAGGAUGAAACAGGGAAAGAGAUGAGAAGAUAAGGAGAAAGGGAGUGUCAGUCCUUUGGAAGAGAAGUAGAAAUGCUGCAGGUGGAGGAGUCCAGAAAACCUAGUGAGACAGCUGAGAGCCUCUGCCUGCAUUGAGGUGCAUGCAACCCUGGAAAAACUGGAGUCUAAAGCAGAGAUUAAUUUACUGCCCUCAGUCAUUAGUGUAAUUCAUCGCAGCAAUCUUAGUUGCUUCCAAGAGACAGAGUUGGGGCUUUGUUUGUUUUAAUGAAACGUGAGGAUGUUAAAAGAAACAGGACCAUACGAAGCCUGGAGUGCAAUAGUCCAGAAAUGAGAGAGCAAGAUGAGCCAAACAUUAACACUUUGAAAUUGGGCACAUCACUGCCUGAAUGAGCAAGCCAGGCAGGAAACAUGAGGUGGGAAACAGAGGUAAGCGAGAAAGUCAGCAAAGCUUGCAAAGUAAAUUCACACUGAGUUUAUCUAAACCUGUUGCUGUUUCAUGAGGUUCUAUUAAAAUCCAGCUGAGAGCAGAGGCAACUGAGAACUCUCUCCAAAAACUCAGGGAUCAAAGUCAGAUUUCUGGUGGUCAACUACCCAAAGCAUGCCAACCCAGUUAAUUUGAAAAGUGAUUGCUUGUCUUAUUCCAGAGACGUGAAUAAAUUAAUGGACUUUGAGAUCCCACUGCCAAAAUGCUCCACUGAAUAGACUGAGACAACUGUUGAUUCAUUUGUUCUGCCAUUGACCUUUUUUCAGACUUUAUUCACUGUGCCUAUUAAUUCACCUUCUAAAAGAAAACUAUCACAGUAUUAUGUUCUAUAGAGGUUUGUUUUUUUUAAAUCAUCAUUAUUUAGUCAGCAGAAAGCAAGCAAUCUAUAACUUGCUUCAUUUUUUUUUGACUUUGCUUAAAGCAGUAUUACUUUUUUAUUAUUAUUGCAGCAUUUGAUAUUACAACUUGCCUUAAGGAAUGGAUACAAGAUCCAUCUCCUGGGGUUUCUAGGAAAAUAUUUCAAAAUAAAUAAUAAAUAGCAACUAUUUAUGAACCAAUCAGUGGUGAGGAAAAGAAGGAUGAUGAAAGUACAAUACUAAGUUGUGCAUCUGCCAUAAAUUAUUGAAAUUAAAGGGAAAGAUAGUAAAAUACUCAAAUUCAACUUUUUGCAGUAAUUUGGCUGCACUCAUAUUUUAUCAUUUGCUGUAACAGAGGUCAAAUUUCCCAGUUGCAUAAUGUCAUAGAGUAUAGCAAUGGGUUACACAAGCAAAAAUGUUUAAUUGCUAUCAUGUACACAUGAAAAUAAAAAAUUAGACUACUCUUUCAUUCAAAUCAUAAGACUGAUUCAAAUUUACCAAUCAUUAACAUUAAUUGACUGCAAUUCAAAUCAAAGAGCAACAGCUGCAUCCUGUUUUCUAGGCUUUGCGGAGGGUGAUGUUUUUGAAAAUAAUAAAUUUGCAUUCACACAGUUCUUAUUUUUAAACAUCAGAAGGAAUCAGUCAAAACUGUGGACCACUGUGCAAUCUGUACAAACCUUGCUUCCUUUUUAUAAGCCAGUGUGUAUUGUGUCAGUGGCAAUAUUUUAACAGCAGUCACAGAGCACUGUGGCACAGUGGGAUCAGCACAUUAGCAGUGACAGGACAGUGCUUUCUUUUAAGGAAUAAUUACAGGAUCACAUGAGCUAAUAGCCCCAGUAGGCUGCACAACACAGAGAACUGGGCACAUUCUCUAAGGGAUGCUAAACCUCAAAAGCUGGCACCCUAAUCUCAGGAAAACUUUUGAUGACCAGCACAUCUGAAAGCUUGACUUUGAAUUCCAGGAAGCUUGACUCAGCUCUUCCUUCUUCCAGGAUGGAUAAAUGGGGAGGUUCAUGCAGCUCACCACACAGGUAUCUUUGAAGUGGAACAUUAAAAACCUGGUGGCUGAUCUAUCCACUGCAGAUAUUUCAGAUUUUACAGCAAUCCCUAAAAGCAGAACUUUACUUAAAUACACCUGCAAGAAAGAAUUUUCCUUCCACCUUUGGUGCUGUGCAGAAUUUUCCACCCAGUCAAUUUCCAAGGUGGAUGAAAUGGUCCCUUAAUAUACUGAGACUCCAGUAAGAAUUACUUCAGGUCAUGGUUUAUUUUUCCCUGAUUAGUUUCCUCCAAAUGCACUCAGACUACAGUAGUAGUGCAGAGGAACACAGGAACCACUGCCAGAUCAGUCCAUCAUCUCACUCUCUCCUGACAAAGGUCAGUGCUGAAUACUUCAGGAAUUGUUUUGACAGACAGCUUUUGAGAGCACAUUCACCCAUAAAAACACAUGAUUAUUUUUCCAUCAACAGCCAGUAAUAUCCUGAAACCUGCUGUUUUUCAUAACUCUACCUAACUGGAAGACAAACAACAUCUGUUUUUUUAUUUAAUAUAUCUAAUCUUUAGUAAAAAUAGUAAUAAUACUAAAACAACCUGCUGCUCUCUUGGUGUCAAUGAUUUUCAGUGGCAAUGAGUUCCACAUGCUUAUUAUGCAGUGCCAUAUGACUUUAACUAGUUUUAUAUGGCUAGUUUUAUAUGACUUUAACUAGUUUUACAAUUUCUGCCUUGCAAUUCUUAUGAAUAACUUCUUGUAUAAUGAAAAAAAAAAAUCUGCUUUACAGUCUGAAAAACAGUGCAUAUUUUUAUGCCCCUCUAAAACUCCUUUAGCAUUCACAAACUUUUCCACCUCUCUUAAUAAAGAAAGCUUUCCACAUCCCAGCCUAACUGUUCUCUGAACAUCUUCUCAUUCUCUUGUCACCUUGUUGAAAUAUAGGGCAGGCAGAAAUAAACACAAGAAUUCAAGAAGGAGGAAAUAAUGAGAUAAAAUAGAUUUCUUUUUGGCAUUUUAACACCUGAAUAAUAUUUUCAUCUCAGAUAUGGAGGAAUGGAAUAUGACUGCCCUAAAAUUGCUUAUGUGACAGAUGCUCAUGCACACUGAGCUACACCUGAAGUAACUUUACCUGGCAGCACAAGAUCCAGCAUGAGAUCCAAACACACUCAGAACCAGGGUGAAUACCUGGGGUGGGAGCCCCUUCUGAGCCCCCUGCCACUGUACACACCCAUAUAGGCUGCUCUUGCUGCAGCAACUGUGAUAAUUAUUGGCCAAGAAACACU